rnacentral:rRNA from 1 species
UACGAAGGGGGCUAGCGUUGCUCGGAAUUACUGGGCGUAAAGCGCACGUAGGCGGCUUCUUAAGUCGGUGGUGAAAUCCUGGAGCUCAACUCCAGAACUGCCUUCGAUACUGGGAGCUCGGAGUCCGGGAGAGGUGAGUGGAACUGCGAGUGUAGAGGUGAAAUUCGUAGAUAUUCGCAAGAACACCAGUGGCGAAGGCGGCUCACUGGCCCGGUACUCGACGCUGAGGUGCGAAAGCGUGGGAGCAAACAGGAUUAGAAACCCC